GCUGCAGUGGGGCAGAAGUUCACCAAAAUCAUUGGAAAGUUCGGAAUCCAGUGACCAUGGGAAGAAGCCUGGACCAGUCUCCUGUACACACUUAAUCCAGCUGGCAAUGGCCUCUACCACUGAUAUGGACCAUCAAGGCCCAGCCAAGCUGCCAGAUGAUCCAAUCCACAGGAGUAAAUCCAUGAAAAACCAGAAGGAAAACCGCCCAGCCCAAUGCAGUCCAAAUAACCCACCAAAGGACUGUAAAGAAAUAAAGUCAUUGUUUUAA